UGUAGGUGGAGAGAAGCUUAUGGGUAAAGGGCAAAAGAGAGACGCCGUAGCUCUUCCACGGGCCCUCAUCGUGGGCCCGCACGAAUCUUGAUGAAGCUUAUAUCGAUUCUGCACCCGUCUUCAAGACGGGACACGAGUCGACGACAGCGCGAGUGUGCAUCGAGGGCCUGCGCGAAUCUCGGUGAGAUCCAUCAUGAUUCUACGCGAAACUCAAAGCGUCGUCUCAUGGAGACUUGUUUCUUCUACUUGCGUGCUCGAGUCCUGGUUUCGUUUGGUGGCCGAGCGACAUGGCGGAGGAACAACUUGGAGGACAUUUGAAUUCCACGCUGUGAGCCAAGAUGGGAGGACUGGUGUGUGGGUAUCACAUGGGUAUUGGUAACCACUCUUUGCAUCAUUCCCCUGGUGACUCCCAGUGAAAGGCUGCUGACUACCUCUAUCUUUGAGACUAAGUUUUGACUGUUGGAGAAAAGGAAAGCAAAUCUAUCAACUGUGGAACCAAACCUGAUCAUACCGGCAUCUUCUUUUUAUCAUGCAUUUGCAGCUCUGGACUUUCUUUAUCCGUCCAUCGAGGACUGUGGCACUGAACAAUGCCGUUUUUCCUUGGGCUGGCUUUGGGUAUAGAUCUCUUCUGUAGGUGGUGAGCAAACAUGAAAGAUGAAGACUCUUCCUGCAAUCAGCAUGUUUGUCAUGUGUUACUGUUGGUCUUCGCAAAUGCUUGGCAACGCACUCGGAGUAAACUUUGACCUUCACAAGAAACUUCUCAUUUUUCAUCAUAUGUGGCAUAUCUAAUGUUAAGGUUCACGAGUGGUCCGCUGCUCAUGGCAUUUACCUUCGUUCUUUGUUGAAUUCGUACGGUGCUUAACAGGACGAUCACAAAUGCCUUAUAAUGGAUGAAUAACUACACUAUUUCCCUGAGGAGACAAUUCUUGGCAAUGUUCUUUCAUGUGUCGAUGAGCGGAUGACGAAUCACACACCGUGUCGAAACAAAGAAAUAAUCUUCCAUCUUGUGAAUGCAGCCAGCAUGGAAACAUCUUCCGUUGCAAAUUUAGAUGCCGUGCCGCCAUCUUACUCGAACAACCAGUAUGCUCCGCAGUUCCUUAUCUCUGUUCUCACGAUACAAAUCUGAGGAAGUGUGAUAUGCUAAUGCAUCGGCGGUGUAUUCAAGUGCCACCAAAAAUCCCAGAGACGUCGACCAAAUAUGUCCGACAGCCGAUCUAUUGGAAGAUUUCUUUGGUGCAGAACCUGAUGAGAUAUGAGAUGACACCCCAAGUUAGCGGACGCAUGUGGAACUCGGAACGCACUCGAAUUCUGCUUGCUAUCGAACCUUUGCUUCCGCUUACGGUGUCGUGAGAUGGAGAUCGAAAGCAGUUUCCCAAUGGCGUGGAUCUCCAUUUCCAUCAUAUCGUGAGAGAUUUCAUCCUUGAGGUCUAAGAAAGAUGGGAAUCGGGUCAAAAGCAGUUGAUGACGCUGAUGGAAUCAUGUGUUGGGCAACUUAAUUCAUAUUGCGGUCAAUUCCUUGGGAAGCUAAGUUGACAAUCUUGACAUGAUGGGUUGGGUGUGGAUCUAAAUCUCGACUCCGUCGUUCUCCCACCGGCACAUGCUGACCCACACCCAGUUGAAGGAGCUCAUCGAGUGGUCCGGGUUGGUGAACUACCAGUGAUUCAUUUUUCUCUUCCACCUAAUCCCUCUGAAACCGAAGACCACUGAUUCGCAACCAUCAUUCCAAGGCUUUCUCUCUCUCUCUCUCUCUCUUUCUCUCUCUUCUGUGCAAGCCAAGCCUAUGGCCGCUUCUUUCUCCUACUUGGGUGCGUGUGUGAGAUGCAUCGACUGCUGCUGGUUUUGUUUCUCGACUCGCCUGACAACUUCAAUCCGCUGUCUCCUCCUUCGAGCCAUCAAAGCCUGCAGUUCUGUUGACUCGCUUGUCAUACGCAAGCUAAGUAUUUCUCUAGAUGCUGCUAACGUGAUCAUGGUCCCUUAAGAUUGUCAUUUUGUGGACACCCAACACCUCUCUUCUUCUUCUUCUUCUGCUUAGGACAAGACGAGCUUGGGAUUGCCACGUGAAACCCGCCAAACUAGCCAUCAAGAAUGCAUGUACAACUAGGAUUUAACGUGUGUUUGUGGAAGGCAAUAAGUGCCUUGGGAUCUUUCCUUAUCACGCAAGACCAUGACUACUUCAACAGUGCCACUCUGACAUGUGUUCACCGACAGGUCAUCUGAGAGGAGGCGGGUUGUUUAGCUACCGGCCGUCACCUAGAAGAAGACGACGACGACGACGACGACGGCAUGGGCCAUGGCCAUUACUUUGCGGUGCAGAGAUGUAGCUGCUACGAGUCAACCGGGUAGGGGAUUCGAUACGGAGACAGCGGUUGUGUCCGAAGCACGGCGAGCUCGGUGGAGGUGUGUUUCGGAUUGAUUACGACCCAAAGCUUCACAUCGCAGCACAGGAGGUGAAAGAUGCUGCGAGGGGGCGGUGGUGCGAAGGGAGGAAGUGCCCCCUCAUAAUAGUGAUAGGAAUUUUGCUCUUCAUGUGUGUUUUAGGAAGCCAUCUCGUGCAUUCGCUUUAACAAAAUGAGUGAGAUUGUAUGUCAAGUUCUUCUUAAAGGAGCGAGAAGCGUCGUCAUGAACGGUACAAGUUUUGAUGGAUGUCUGACUGCAUAUUGGAUUCA